CUUCAGUCUAUGAUCUGGGCCAUUGUUGCCUUGCGUCUGGACUCUGGCGCACCUGAAGAAGCCAUUGAUCGAGACGUACUUCCUCAUCCAACGAUCGAUCGUCCCCUCAAACAAAACCCAGCGAUCGAUCGAGAUCAAUACGAGCGAAGAGACGAAGUGUCCGUUCCUCUUUUCAUCAGGCGCUGCCGGCCAUCGAUGCGGCAGGUCUUUUUCAGGAGUAAGGAACAGGAGGGCAGGACCAGGAACGAAGGCAUGAACGGCGAUCGGCAGCCGGCAACCAGUAAGAAGGAUCUGAUUCAUCUCAAGCCAAGGAAAUUUCAGGCCAUCUACGGAUCUCCGAUUUUUUAAGCGUCGUCGCUUCAAUAACCGGUGAUCCCGU